AUGGGCGCGGCGAGCUCGAGGCUGGAGAAGGCGCUGGGCGAGCAGUUCCCCGAGGGCGAGCGAUACUUCGGCCUCGAGAACUUCGGCAACACCUGCUACUGCAACAGCGUCCUCCAGGCACUUUACUUCUGUGUUCCUUUCCGCGAGCAAUUACUGGAGUACUAUGCAAACAAUAAAAGCGCCAGUGAUGGCGAAGAGAACAUGUUAACCUGCUUAGCUGACCUUUUCUCUCAGAUCAGCAAUCAGAAGAAGAAAACAGGCGUUAUCGCUCCUAAGCGUUUUAUUCAACGACUGAAGAAACAGAAUGAGCUUUUCCGCAGCUAUAUGCAUCAGGAUGCUCAUGAAUUUCUGAAUUUUUUGUUGAAUGAGCUAGCUGACAUUCUCGAGAAAGAAUGUAAAGCCAAUAAAGAAACUCCUCAAAAUUCAUCUUCAAAUAAGAGUUCUAAUGGCCCUAUUAAUGGUCAGCCCAAUGGUAGUCAUAAAGAACCAGAGACUACAUGGGUCCACAAAUGCUUCCAGGGAAUAUUGACUAAUCAAACAAAAUGUCUGAGAUGUGAAACCGUCACUGAUAGAGAUGAAACAUUUCUUGACUUGAGCCUGGAUAUAGAACAAAAUAGUUCAAUCACCAGCUGUCUUAAAAACUUCAGCUCAACAGAAACUUUGAACGCCGAGGAUAAGUUCUUCUGUGACAAAUGCUGCAGUUUACAAGAAGCACAGAAAAGAAUGAAGAUAAAGAAACAGCCAAACAUCCUGGUAAUCCAUCUCAAGCGCUUCAAGUACAUCGAGCAGCUUGGCCGCUACAAAAAGCUGACAUACCGAGUCGUUUUCCCACUGGAGCUUAAACUCAUGAACACAGUCGACAACUCAGACUUGGAAUAUUCCCUCUUUGCUGUGCUAGUCCACGUCGGAAGUGGGCCAAAUCAUGGCCACUACAUCAGCGUGGUAAAGAGCCACAACCACUGGUUGUUCUUCGACGAUGAGACUGUUGAGAUGACCGAUGAGUCCAUGGUACAGACAUUCUUCGGCUCAGCACAGGAGUUCAGUGGUAACACCGACAAUGGCUACAUACUCUUCUACGAAAGCGUCGCUAAAACAAGCUGA
rnacentral:rRNA from 1 species